AACCAAGAUUUGAAGAGAUCUAUUAUCUAAACUCCCAAAGAACCAAUAAUCCAAUCAAUAAAUAGGCAACUGAACUGAAGAGACAAAAGAGUGAACUGAGCUCCAA